rnacentral:rRNA from 1 species
CCUACGGGAGGCAGCAGUGAGGAAUUUUCCGCAAUGGGCGAAAGCCUGACGGAGCAAUGCCACGUGGAGGAGGAAGGCCUGUGGGUCGUAAACUCCUUUUCUCAGAGAAGAAGUUCUGACGGUAUCUGAGGAAUAAGCAUCGGCUAACUCUGUGCCAGCAGCCGCGGUAAUACAGGGGAUGCAAGCGUUAUCCGGAAUUAUUGGGCGUAAAGCGUCCUGAGGUGGCUUACCCAGUCGACUGUGAAAGCUCAAGGCUUAACCUUGAAACGGCAGUCGAAACUUGUAAGCUUGAGUACGGUAGGGGCAGAGGGAAUUCCCGGAGGAGAGGUGAAAUUCGUAGAUAUCGGGAGGAAGGCCAAAGGCGAAAGCACUCUGCUGGGCCGAUUACUGACACUGACAGACGAAAGCUAGGGGAGCGAAAGGGAUUAGAUACCCCUGUAGUCCUAGCCGUAAACGAUGGAUACUAAGUGUUGCGCGACUCAAACGUGCAGUGCUGCAGCUAACGCGUAAGUAUCCCGCCUGGGGAGUAUGCCGCAAGGGUGAAACGUCAAAUGAAUUGACGGCUGAGACGNGCGACGACGACGACGAGGAGAG